AGCGGUCCAAGGAAGAUCCGAUGGUCAGAAAUUAAUGUUACAAGUAUUAUACAGUUUCUAGAGAUUUUAGAACUCCUUUUGCUAUCAGAAAAAGAUAAAAAAAAAAUUCACCUAUAAAUAGGGGUUCAAGAGUAAGAGUGGAGAGAAAAAAAAAUAAGUAAAAAUAAUAAAAAAAAUUAAAAAAAAAUUAGAUAGGUUUAGGGACCCA
rnacentral:lncRNA from 1 species